rnacentral:lncRNA from 1 species
UUGCAUCCAAUGGAGUGUUACCAUGCCCAUAGUCCCCUAAAAAUAUUUCCAACUAAAUCAAACUACUUGGAUCAUGAAUGAGUUGAUGCCAUAAAUACAAUUACUGUUCAUGCCAAAUUAAUCCCUGCUCUCGGCAUUACAAAACUCCAAUCACAACCAACCCUAAAGCCCUCUCUCUGUCUGUCACCUGACCAGCAACUGCCCUCUUAUUUCAACACCAUUAAAUGACAAUAAUAAUAAUAAUUAUAAUCGAAGAAGAAUCAACUACAGAAGGCCCCGAGAUAAAAGAACAGAUCAAACGGUAAUGCAAACAAAAAAAAAAACUACUAAAAAAAUCAAAUCGGCGAUUUUAAGUACUAAAACGAGAAGAAAGCAAAACAUACCCUUACCAAUGCCGCCCGAUUUCCGAUCUCCGAUCUAUAUUUUCCUGAAAAAUUGGGAAGAAGAAGGGGAAAAAAGAAUUUUCCAGAGGAAAGGAAUGAAUCAAAAGAGGGAAAUAUGUACAGAAACCAAUCGAAGAUCGUACCGAGCUCCAAAUGAGAAGUGGACGAGGCCUCGAGAGAUCUCUCGCGAGCUCUCUUCUGGCGAACACAAGAAAAAUAGGAAAGGAUCGAGGAAAAAUAGAAGGGAGCAGUGGAUACGACUGACGACGGGCAACCAAAGGAGGGUUGAAUUUUGAAUUACUUGC